GCAAGUCGAAGGAGAAGGAAAUAGCUUGCUAUUUCUGGAGACUGGCGCCCGGGUGAGUCACGCGUAGGUAACCUACCUAUUGCAGGGGGAUAACAGCUCGAAAGGGCUGCUAAUACCGCAUAAAGCAGCGGGGCCGCAUGGCCUUGUUGUUAAAGCUGCGGCGGAAAUAGAUGGGCCUGCGGGCCAUUAGUUAGUUGGUGGGGUAACGGCCUACCAAGACGAUGAUGGCUAGCUGGUCUGAGAGGAUGAUC
rnacentral:rRNA from 1 species